rnacentral:rRNA from 1 species
UACGUAGGGGGCAAGCGUUGUCCGGAUUUAUUGGGCGUAAAGGGCGCGUAGGCGGCCAUGCGUGUCUUCCGUGAAAUCCCUCGGCUUAACUGAGGACGUGCGGAAGAAACUGCAAGGCUCGAGUCCGGGAGAGGGGGGGGUGGAAUUCCCAGUGUAGCGGUAAAUGCGUAGAUAUUGGGAGGAACACCGGUGGCGAAGGCGGCCCCCUGGACCGGUACUGACGCUGAGGCGCGAAAGCGUGGGUGACGCAAACGGGAGUUCAAGAA